rnacentral:rRNA from 1 species
AGUGAACGCUGGCGGUAGGCCUAACACAUGCAAGUCGAACGGCAGCACAGGAGAGCCUGCUCUCUGGGUGGCGAGUGGCGGACGGGUGAGGAAUACAUCGGAAUCUACUUUUUCGUGGGGGAUAACGUAGGGAAACUUACGCUAAUACCGCAUACGACCUCCGGGUGAAAGCAGGGGACGUACGGGCCUUGCGCGAUUGAAUGAGCCGAUGUCGGAUUAGGUAGUUGGCGGGGUAAAGGCCCACCAAGGCGACGAUCCGUAGCUGGUCUGAGAGGAUGAUCAGCCACACUGGAACUGAGACACGGUCCAGACUCCUACGGGAGGCAGCAGUGGGGAAUAUUGGACAAUGGGCGCAAGCCUGAUCCAGCCAUACCGCGUGGGUGAAGAAGGCCUUCGGGUUGUAAAGCCCUUUUGUUGGGAAAGAAAUCCAGCUGGCUAAUACCCGGUUGGGAUGACGGUACCCAAAGAAUAAGCACCGGCUAACUUCGUGCCAGCAGCCGCCGUAA